rnacentral:rRNA from 1 species
UACGGAGGGUGCGAGCGUUGUCCGGAAUCACUGGGCGUAAAGGGCGCGUAGGCGGCGCGGUAAGCGUGCGGUGAAAGCCCGGGGCUCAACCCCGGGUCGGCCGUGCGGACUGCCGGGCUCGAGCACUGUAGAGGCGGGUGGAAUUCCAGGUGUAGCGGUGAAAUGCGUAGAUAUCUGGAGGAACACCGGUGGCGAAGGCGGCAUCCUGGACCAACACUGACGCUGAGGAGCGAAAGCCAGGGGAGCAAACGGG